rnacentral:rRNA from 1 species
AGGGCACCACCAGAAGUGGAGCCUGCGGCUCAAUUUGACUCAACACGGGGAAAUUUAUCAGGCCCAGACACCGGAAGGAUUGACAGAUUGAGAGCUCUUUCUUGAUUCGGUGGGUGGUGGUGCAUGGUCGUUCCUAGUUGGUGGUCCGAAUUGUCUGGUUAAUUCCGUUAACGAACGAGACUCUAGCCUGCUAACUAGGCGUUACUUACCGGUAUCCUGAGGGCUCGUGUCUCUCGUUUUCUGGCGUGCAUUGGUCGUGUAUCAUUGCUUCGGCGAUGUGCAUUGCAUGGUGUACGUUCGGUGCGGGAGUUCACGGUUUUUACUACCGGCGUACAUAUAAAUCUUCUUAGAGGGACAGGCGGCUUCUAGCCGCACGAGAUUGAGCAAUAACAGGUCUGUAAUGCCCUUAGAUGUUCUGGGCCGCACGCGCGCUACACUGAAGGAAUCAGCGUGUCUUCCCUGGCCGAACGGCCCGGGUAACCCGUUGAACCUCCUUCGUGCUAGGGAUUGGGGCUUGCA